GACAGAGGCCCCGAGCGUUAGGCGGAAUCACUGGGCUUAAAGCGUGUGUAGGCGGACGCCUAAGUGUCUUGUGAAAUCCCACGGCUCACCCGUGGAACUGCUGGGCAUACUGGGCGUCUUGGGCCAACUAGGGGCAGCCGGAACAAGCGGUGGAGCGGUGAAAUGCGUAGAUAUCGCUUGGAACGCCGAAGGUGAAAACAGGCUGCUGGGGUUGUGCCGACGCUGAGACACGAAAGCCAGGGGAGCAAACGGG
rnacentral:rRNA from 1 species